rnacentral:rRNA from 1 species
AAGACCUUACGCUUUUGGAGCGGCCGAUGUCUGAUUAGCUUGUUGGUGAGGUAAAGGCUUACCAAGGCUUCGAUCAGUAGCUGGUCUGAGAGGACGGCCAGCCACACUGGGACUGAGACACGGCCCAGACUCCUACGGGAGGCAGCAGUGGGGAAUUUUGGACAAUGGGCGCAAGCCUGAUCCAGCCAUGCCGCGUGAGUGAAGAAGGCCUUCGGGUUGUAAAGCUCUUUCAGCCGGGAAGAAAAGGUUGCGACUAAUAAUCGCAAUCCAUGACGGUACCGAAAGAAGAAGCACCGGCUAACUACGUGCCAGCAGCCGCGGUAAUACGUAGGGUGCGAGCGUUAAUCGGAAUUACUGGGCGUAAAGGGUGCGCAGGCGGUUUUGUAAGUCAGAUGUGAAAUCCCCGGGCUUAACCUGGGAACU